GCCAGGUAUGGUGGUGCAUGCCUGUAGUCCCAGCUAUUCAGGAGGCUGAGGUGGGAGGAUCACUUGAGCCCAGGAGGUCGAGGCUGCAGUGAGCCAUGAUUGUGCCACUGCACUUCGGCCUGGGCAACAGAGCAAGAACCUGUCUCAA
rnacentral:SRP_RNA from 2 species